GUGGGGAAUAUUGGACAAUGGGCGAAAGCCUGAUCCAGCCAUGCCGCGUGUGUGAAGAAGGUCUUCGGAUUGUAAAGCACUUUAAGUUGGGAGGAAGGGCAGUAAGUUAAUACCUUGCUGUUUUGACGUUACCGACAGAAUAAGCACCGGCUAACUUCGUGCCAGCAGCCGCGGUAAUACGAAGGGUGCAAGCGUUAAUCGGAAUUACUGGGCGUAAAGCGCGCGUAAGUGGUUUUGUAAGUUGGAGGUGAAAUCCCCGGGCUCAACCUGGGAACUGCCUCCAAAACUGCAUGACUAGAGUACGGUAGAGGGUAGUGGAAUUUCCUGAGUAGCGGUGAAAUGCGUAGAUAUAGGAAGGAACACCAGUGGCGAAGGCGACUACCUGGACUGAUACUGACACUGAGGUGCGAAAGCGUGGGGAGCAAACAGGAUUAGAAACCCGGGUAGUCC
rnacentral:rRNA from 1 species